rnacentral:tRNA from 1 species
GUUUUGUUAGUAUAUAAAGUAUGAUUGUUUUCCAAACAAUUGGUUUAAUUUUAAAUUAAAUAAAAUA